AGCCACAGUCAUAUUACCCUACAGCCCAAGACUGGUUACUCACUGAAGCUAAGCAGGGCUGAGCCUGGUGGUCAGUACCUGGAUGGCAGACCACAUGGGAAAACUAAGUUGCUGUUGCAA
rnacentral:rRNA from 1 species